rnacentral:rRNA from 1 species
UCUUUCAUGGAGAGUUUGAUCCUGGCUCAGGACGAACGCUGGCGGCGUGCCUAAUACAUGCAAGUCGAGCGGAGUUAGGAGGGAGCUUGCUCCCAA